GCUUACACAUGCAAGUCGAACGGAAAGGCCCUGCUUUUGUGGGGUGCUCGAGUGGCGAACGGGUGAGUAACACGUGAGUAACCUGCCCUUGACUUUGGGAUAACUUCAGGAAACUGGGGCUAAUACCGGAUAGGAGCUCCUGCUGCAUGGUGGGGGUUGGAAAGUUUCGGCGGUUGGGGAUGGACUCGCGGCUUAUCAGCUUGUUGGUGGGGUAGUGGCUUACCAAGGCUUUGACGGGUAGCCGGCCUGAGAGGGUGACCGGCCACAUUGGGACUGAGAUACGGCCCAGACUCCUACGGGAGGCAGCAGUGGGGAAUAUUGCACAAUGGGCGGAAGCCUGAUGCAGCAACGCCGCGUGCGGGAUGACGGCCUUCGGGUUGUAAACCGCUUUCGCCUGUGACGAAGCGUGAGUGACGGUAAUGGGUAAAGAAGCACCGGCUAACUACGUGCCAGCAGCCGCGGUGAUACGUAGGGUGCGAGCGUUGUCCGGAUUUAUUGGGCGUAAAGGGCUCGUAGGUGGUUGAUCGCGUCGGAAGUGUAAUCUUGGGGCUUAACCCUGAGCGUGCUUUCGAUACGGGUUGACUUGAGGAAGGUAGGGGAGAAUGGAAUUCCUGGUGGAGCGGUGGAAUGCGCAGAUAUCAGGAGGAACACCAGUGGCGAAGGCGGUUCUCUGGGCCUUUCCUGACGCUGAGGAGCGAAAGCGUGGGGAGCGAACAGGCUUAGAUACCCUGGUAGUCCACGCUGUAAACGGUGGGUACUAGGUGUGGGGUCCAUUCCACGGGUUCCGUGCCGUAGCUAACGCUUUAAGUACCCCGCCUGGGGAGUACGGCCGCAAGGCUAAAACUCAAAGGAAUUGACGGGGCCCCGCACAAGCGGCGGAGCAUGCGGAUUAAUUCGAUGCAACGCGUAGAACCUUACCUGGGUUUGACAUGGAUCGGGAGUGCUCAGAGAUGGGUGUGCCUCUUUUGGGGUCGGUUCACAGGUGGUGCAUGGCUGUCGUCAGCUCGUGUCGUGAGAUGUUGGGUUAAGUCCCGCAACGAGCGCAACCCUUGUUCACUGUUGCCAGCACGUUAUGGUGGGGACUCAGUGGAGACCGCCGGGGUCAACUCGGAGGAAGGUGGGGAUGACGUCAAGUCAUCAUGCCCCUUAUGUCCAGGGCUUCACGCAUGCUACAAUGGCUGGUACAGAGAGUGGCGAGCCUGUGAGGGUGAGCGAAUCUCGGAAAGCCGGUCUCAGUUCGGAUUGGGGUCUGCAACUCGACCUCAUGAAGUCGGAGUCGCUAGUAAUCGCAGAUCAGCAACGCUGCGGUGAAUACGUUCCCGGGGCUUGUACACACCGCCCGUCAAGUCAUGAAAGUUGGUAACACCCGAAGCCGGUGGCCUAACCGUUGUGGGGGAGCCGUCGAAGGUGGGACUGGUGAUUAG
rnacentral:rRNA from 1 species